GACGAACGCUGGCGGCGUGCUUAACACAUGCAAGUCGAACGAAGUGGCGAACGGGUGAGUAACGCGUAAUCAACCUGCCCUUCCAAGGGGGACAACAGUUGGAAACGACUGCUCAUACCGCAUACUGAAGGAGGGGAUUGCGUCGGAUUAGGUGGUUGGGGGGGUAACGGCCUACCAAGGCGAUGGUCAGUAACCGGUUUUAGAGGAUGAACGGCCCCAAUGGGACGGAGGCACGGCCCAUACUCCUACGGGAGGGAGCAGGUGGGAAUCAUCCGCAAUGGACGAAAGUCUGACUGAGCAACGCCGCGUGAGGGAUGACGGCCUUCGGGUUUGAAAGCUCUGUUAAGCGGGACGCGGUACCGGAAUAGAAAGCCACGGCUAACUACGUGCCAGCAGCCGCGGUAAUAC
rnacentral:rRNA from 1 species